GAGACUGGAGUAGAGCAGUGCAGGGAGAAGACACAGGAAGCUUGCAAAGCAGGACUGGUUGAAGUGAAGCAAGGCAGGGGAGGGUAAUGUAGGAUGGAGUCUCAGUUAUCCUAGUGAGCUUGAACAGAGCACAGCACCGCUGGCUGGACCAGGGGCUGACGGGACCAAACUGGACUGUGUCAUCAGGGCAGACAUUUGAGUUCAGCUUCAGAAACAAGGAACCACAGUUCAGGUGACGCCUAUACUGCUGGACGGGAUCAGGCUGGACUGGGCGUCAACAGCAGUGGAUUAUGGGUUGUUCGGCCAGUGUGGUCCUGCUCCUGCGCUCAGUGGGUGGGGCCGACUGCGGUCACAUGUGUUCACGACAGGACCAGAUGUCAUUGGAUGCUGCCACUCCCACCCUAGAGGGUUACACCUCUACCACCUCACCUCUGACCAUCAUUGUAAUGCAAGAGAAACCUAAGCUGAUUGAUCCACUUGACUAUGAGACUGUCAUCUCUGAACUGGGGGACGAGUUGAAGGAAGACCCUCUCAGAGAACUGCUCCUAUUCCCUGACAAUGAUUUCUUGGUAUCCACUGUGCCUCAGGAGAGUCGGACUCUCAAGUCAACUGUUCCAGAAGGGGCAGAACUACAGGCUGAAUGUCUGCUGGUCAGACAGGCCUGCAAGUAUUACAACUCUGAGCUAAAUGUGGUCCAGUUCAAGUAUGACGACUACGCUGGAGACUACCGCCUGCUGCCCAGGAAACUGUACAAGGCAGAGAAGCUGCCAUCCCAUUCUUUUGAGAUUGACUACGAGGAUGUGGACAAGGAUGAGGAUACCACCUCACUGUCCUCGUCCAAAGGAGGAGGGGGAGGUGGUGGUGGAGGAGGAGGGGGAGGGAUCGGUGUGUUUCGGUCAGGCUGGCUCUACAAAGGGAACUUCAACAGCACCGUCAACAAUAGCAUAACUGUUCGGUCAUUUAAGAGGAGAUAUUUUCAGCUCACCCAGUUGACAGAUAACUCCUACAUCAUGAACUUUUACAAAGAUGAGAAGAUUUCCAAGGAACCCAAAGGGUGCAUCUUCCUUGACUCAUGCACUGGUGUGGUACAGAAUAACCGCCUAAGGAAACAUGCCUUUGAGCUGAAGAUGAACGAGGUUACAUACUUCGUGCUGGCUGCGGAGAGCGAGCAGGACAUGGAGGAGUGGAUUAGCACGCUGACCCGCAUCUUACAGAUCAGUCCCCACGACGGUCCGGCUCCUGACCGCAAGAGUCUGGACCUCACAGAUCAUCGGCAGGAUGUGUUCGACCUGUCGCUGAGUGACUGCUGUUUGCAGGAGAAUGAAGAUACUACGACAGAAAACGGCAUCAAUCCAGAGCUAGCAAAGUAUAUAUCUGAGACAGAUGAAGGAAUUCGCUCUGCCAGGAGAGAAGAGAGGUUGAAUCUGUUUUCGCUGGACCCUGAUACUCCUGUUCUGAGGAGCCCACGGACCGAACAUUCAUCGGUUGAGAACGCAGCGGUGCGUCCGUUUGAGGAAAAACUGGGCAGAAGGUUUAUGAUAACCUGCCGAUCACUCAACCUCAUGCUGCAGGGCUGCAUCAACGAGAGUGAAACUGGACCGGUCACCAAUAUUGAACCCUUCUUCGUGUCGCUGGCUCUGCUGGAUGUACGAGAAGGGAGAAAGUUGUCUGCAGACUUCCACGUAGACCUCAACCAAGAGACAGUGCGUCAGAUGCUCGGAGGCUGCAGCAACGGGACAGGUGGUCCUGGGACAGGUGUUGGAGGUCAGGAAAAUGGCCUGUGCUCUCCUGCUGAGAAGAAGCCAGGAGACUGUUACCUCAGCCUGGAACUGGACCACUGGCUGUGCUUUCCCAAACAGGCCAUCUUCUCAGUGACCAACCCCCACACAGACAUAGUGAUGGUGGCAAGAGUGGAAAAGGUGCUGAUGGGAAAUAUUGCUUGUGGGACAGAACCUUAUAUUAAGAAUACAGACUCCGGCAAGAUUGUUCAGAAGAUUUUGAAAUCCAACAAACAGUUCUGUAGUAAACUGGGAAAGUACCGUAUGCCAUUUGCCUGGUCCGUCAGGUCUGUGUUUAAAGACAACCAUGGGGCACUGGACAGAGAGUCUCGUUUCUCACCCCUCUUCAAACAAGAGAGCAACAAGAUUUCCACUGAUGACCUGAUUAAGCUGGUAGCUGAGUACAGGAGGGCAGAGAAGACCAGCAAACUGCAGACUAUUCCUGGGACGCUGGACAUUGCAGUCGACUAUAUUCCAAUGGAGCAUCCCAACUGUGUGACAUCCUCCUAUGUACCAGUGAAGCCAUUUGAAGAGCUAAGCAAACACCAGCCUACUGUGGAGGUGGAGGAGUUUGUCCAGGACUCUACCAAGUUCACACAGCCACACCGUGUGUACAGAAACCACAUCUACGUCUACCCUAAACACCUCAAAUAUGACAGCCAGAAGAGCUUUGCCAAGGCUCGUAACCUUGCAGUCUAUGUGGAGUUCCGCAGCUCGGACGAAGAAGUUGCCAAACCUUUAAAGUGCAUCUAUGGCAAGCCAGGUAGUCCGGUCUUCACCACAGCAGCCUGUUCCACAGUCCUGCAUCACUCCCAGAACCCCGACUUCUACGAUGAGGUGAAGAUUGAGCUUCCCACUCAACUUCAUGAAAAGCACCACCUUCUUUUCUCCUUUUACCACGUCACCUGUGACAUCAACGCCAAGACAAAUGCUAAGAGGAAAGAAACCCUGGAGACCCCAGUGGGGUAUUCCUGGCUGCCUCUCCUCAAAGAAGGUCGUCUGUCAUCUCAGGAGUUCAGCAUCUCUGUCUCCUGUAACCUGCCGCCCGGGUACCUGGCCAUCAAGGAAGCCAGCAACACCAAGAAUGGAGCAGAUGUGAAAUGGGUCGAUGGAGGAAAAGCUAUCUUCAAAGUGUCCACCAAUGUUGUCUCCACAGUAUAUACUCAGGACCCCCACCUGAACCGAUUCUUCCAGCAGUGCCAAAAGAGAGAGCUGGACCUCUCACAAUCUCCUACCUCCAACUUCAUCAACUGCCUGAAGGGUCUUCUCAGUAUGGAGAGAAUCCCAGUGAUCAUCCGAUUUCUGCCAGUGCUCUUCAACCAGCUGUUCAAGGUCCUGACUCAGAAUGACGACGAUGAGGUCACCACUGCCACCACCAGAGUGCUGGUCCACAUUGUAGCAAAGUGCCAUGAAGAAAACCUGGAUCACUACCUGCACUCCUAUAUCAAGUAUGUGUUCAAGUCAGAGGCCCACGGCUUCAGGACAGUUCACGAGGAGCUGGCUAAGGGGAUGACCUUUGACCUGAAGAGCAAUGAGCAGGCAGCAGUCAGGAAUGUCCUGAAGUUCUCCUGGUUCUUCUUUGAGCUGAUUAUCAAGUCCAUGGCCCAAAAUUUGGUCGACUCUGACAAGACGAAGCUUCCGAGGCCGCAGCGUUUCCCCUCUUCCUACCUGAGUCGUGUGGAGACCCUGGUGGAGACGGUGUCCGAACACAUUUUUUGGAAGAACAAAGACCUGGCAGAAGAGACACGCAGUGCCAACUUAGCUGUAGCAGCUUUUGUCAAGCGUUGCUUUACUCUCAUGGACAGAGGCUUCACGUUCAAACUGAUUAGCAACUAUAUAAACAUGAUCACUGCUACUGACAGCAAGGUCUUGUGUGAGCUGAAGUUCGAAUUCUUGAGAGAGGUGUGUAACCACGAACACUACAUCCCUCUCAGCCUGCCCUUACCCUCUGCUCGCAUCACCGACCAUGCAUCCCCAGAGCCACAAAGUACUCAUGUGUCGGUGCCUGAGUAUAACCUGACCGGAGAGUUCUGCAGGAAGCACUUCCUGACUGGCCUGUUGCUACGGGAACUGGGGCUAGCACUCCAGGACGAGCAGGACCUGAGACACCUAGCCUUGGCCACCCUGAAGACUCUAAUGGCCAAACACUCCCUGGAUGCACGCUAUGCCACCAAGGAAAAGCAGGCAAGGAUUGCAUCUCUCUACUUGCCUCUGUAUGGCCUGAUCCUGGACAACAUGCCUCGAUUCUUCCUCAGAGACCUCUUCCCCAUCUACUUCACUUCUAGUGACCAAGGCUCUCGAGAUGACCUCAGUGUGGGAGGGGGAGUGGCCGGAGGGGUGAUUCCUGUUACUCGUCAUGGCAACUCUGUAGAUGCCUCAUUUUCCAAAGAAGUACUGAACUCCAUCACAGCCUUCUCAUCCUUAGCAGUUGCCACGGGUAACCAGGCCGACUCUCGGGGUUCUCUGAUCAGUGUGGACUCCAACCCGAGCAACAGUGACAGGAACAGUGAGAAGAUGGAUGGAUGUGAAAAGUUUGCUCGGCCGCAGUCCCUCAUAGGCUACGGUUCUCGUUGUGACAAGCUGGACCAGGCAGAGACCCGCAGUCUCCUCAUGUGCUUUUUGCACAUCAUGAAAACUAUAUCUGAGGAUGUGCUGGUGUCCUACUGGCACAGGGCCAUUCACCAGGAGAUCUCAGACUUCUUUAACAUCCUGGAGCUGUGUCUUCAGCACUUCAGGUUCCUCGGAAAACGCCACAUAGCCAGGAAGCUAGCAGCGGCAGUAAAGCUGGCCCAGUCCACCCACGCCAAUGGCACCCUGAAGGGCUCUAACCACCCCUCCCAGUCCUCUCAACACUCAAGCCUCUUCCCACAAUGGAUGGCAUCAUCUGGAGGGGAAGGUCACAGACAUGCUCGCUCCCAAACUAUGCCCAUCAUCAGGGGGAAGAAUGCUCUCACUAACCCCAAACUGCUGCAGAUGAUGGAGACAGAUGGGAAUAUUCAGGAUGGAGACACGCUGAGUCCUACAGAUAUUGAGGCAAACUUGUCCACUGAGGUGUCGCUCACUGUGCUGGAUGUACUGGAGCUCUUUGUUCACCAUCACAAGAAGCAGCUGUUGCUGGAUGAUGGACAAAACGCUUUGAUGAAGAAGGUGCUGGACACCUACUUGCUCUUCUUUCAGAUCAACCAAUCAACCACCACUCUACGGCACAUCUUCGCUGGACUCAGGCUCUUUGUACAAAAGUUCCCCAGUGCAUUCUUCCAGGGUAAGGCAGACCUGUGCGGCUGUCUAUGCUAUGAGAUCCUCAAGUGCUGUAACCAUCGUUCCAGCUCCACCCAGACGGAGGCAGCUGCCCUGCUGUAUUUUUUCAUGAGAAAAAACUUUGAGUUUACCAAGGGCAAGUCUAUAGUCCGCUCACAUCUGCAGGUUAUCAAGGCAGUGAGCCAGUUGAUAGCAGAUGCUGGCAUUGGAGGCUCCAGAUUUCAGCAGUCCUUGGCUAUCAUCAAUAACUUUGCCAACGGAGAUGCACCACUCAAGAACACUCCAUUCCCUGCUGAGGUGAAAGACUUGACCAAACGGAUCAGGACCGUUCUGAUGGCCACAGCACAAAUGAAGGAGCAUGAGAAGGAUCCAGAGAUGCUGGUAGAUCUUCAGUACAGUCUGGCCAACUCCUACGCCAGCACACCCGAGCUUCGACGCACCUGGCUGGAGAGCAUGGCUAAGGUUCACGUCCGCAACGGGGAUCUCUCAGAGGCUGCCAUGUGCUACAUCCACAUCUCGGCCCUGAUUGCUGAAUCGUUGAAGAGGAGAGGCUACUGGAGAGCUGACAAGGCCAGGAUGUCCAGUGUGUCCCCUGAAGAAAGCCCUGUCUAUAACUGUAGCUCCUUACUAACUACCUCCCGAGAUCAAGACAAAACCCCAGCGUCGUUCUCUAUGGGCUGGGCAGCGUUUAUGUGCAUCAGCCCUAAUGUCAAAGAGGAGGGUGCCAUGAAGGAAGACACUGGUACACAAGACACGCCCUAUACUGAGGACACUCUGGUAGAGCAGCUGGAGUUGUGUGUGGAUUAUCUGUGGAAAUCAGAGAGACACGAGCUCAUCGCUGACAUCAACAAACCUGUGAUAGCCGUCUUUGAAAAGAGACGGGAUUUUAAGAGGCUGUCAGAGCUGUACUAUGACAUCCAUCGCUCCUAUCUCAAGGUGACUGAGGUGGUGAACUCAGAAAAGCGUCUCUUCGGUCGCUACUACCGUGUAGCUUUCUAUGGACAGGGUUUCUUUGAGGAGGAGGAGAGCAAAGAGUUCAUCUACAAAGAGCCGAAGCUGACAGGACUGUCAGAAAUCUCCCAGAGAUUACUCAAACUCUACUCCGACAAGUUUGGAGCUGAUAAUGUCAAGAUGAUCCAAGACUCCAAUAAGGUCAAUCCUAAAGACCUGGACCCCAAGUUUGCCUACAUUCAGGUGACGUACGUGGUGCCCUACUUGGACGAGAAAGAACAACAGGAAAAAAGGACUGAUUUUGAGAGACAUCACAACAUCAACCGCUUUGUGUUUGAGACGCCAUUCACUCUGUCAGGGAAGAAACAUGGAGACGUGGAGGAGCAGUGCAAGAGACGCACCAUAUUGACCACGAGUUCCAGCUUCCCCUACCUAAAGAAGCGUAUCCAGGUAGUGGAGCAGCAGAGCACAGAAAUGAAUCCGAUUGAGGUAGCCAUUGAUGAGAUGUCACGGAAAGUCUCUGAGCUCAACCAGCUCUGCAACAUGGAGGAGGUAGACAUGAUCCGGCUCCAGCUGAAGCUACAGGGCAGCGUCAGUGUCAAGGUGAAUGCAGGGCCUAUGGCUUAUGCCAGGGCGUUCUUAGAGGAGAAGAAUGCAAAGAAAUACCCAGACAACCAGGUCAAACUGCUCAAGGAGAUCUUCAGGCAGUUUGCAGAAGCCUGUGGUCAGGCUUUGGAUGUGAAUGAGCGUCUGAUCAAGGAGGACCAGCUGGAAUACCAGGAGGAGAUGAGAGCUCACUACCGGGACAUGCUGACUGAGCUGUCUGGCAUCAUGAAUGAACAGGUCUCACUAAGCAAUGACCAAUGAGUGUCCAGACUUAUGUUAUUACCACACUGUUGUUGUUUUUUUUCUCAUUCAGUUGCAUGGCAUAGUGAGCAUCAUCUUUUGCUUCUCAUCUUUUAUGACGCAUUUUGCAUUGUCGUGGGUAUCAGCUUCUGUUCACACUUCUCUCGACUUCUUUUUGAACUUCUCCUCUCAUUACAGCUGCAAAAAAGUGUUCUUGCUGCCAGUACCUCAUCUCUCUCUAACAGCUCUCUGUCCACUCUUUCUAAGACUGAUUCCUCACACAAGACAACCAGGAACGGAACGGCACAGCGCCUACUGAAUGGCCAAUAGACUCACAAGAAAUUCUUUGUGCGAGGGAGGACUUUUUUUCCCCCCAAAAAAAUGACUGGAGUGCCAGUUUGAGCCUCAAAGCAGCUCAUUUGCUUGUUUCUGACUGUAGUUGUUUCCUGCUGCAGGGAGCAGCGGGCUAGUGGAACUGUGACUGACAGAGUGUAGAGAAAAACAAGGGAAGAAGUGUGUAGACUGUGGUCGUGAUAGUCUGUAGUCCUGUCGUUGAAAACGUUGACUAUCUACAGUAGAGGCCAGGCUGCUGGACUGUUAGCUACUGUUUGUUUUGGUUUUAGAGACUCGAUCCAUGUGUCAUAUGGAUUCCCCUUCCCUGCCAACUGAUUCAUUAGCUUACAUACUGACACACAAACAAAUACACACAGUGCAUAUGUUCAUACACAACAUGCACACAACAUGCGCCUUCUCUCCACAACCCUGUCCCUUUAGAGAACAGUGACCUUACUGAGCUCGAGGUGCGUUCAGCUGUAUAUGUAAUAUAUAGCUUUCUGGUGCAUUUUGAUGACAAUUUUUACAUUUCUUUCUGUGGAAUAUCAUUGUACUUCAAACUAUUUCAAGAGAUCUCGUGAGAUAGCUAAUGUGAAAAAGAAUAGAUUUGGAUUACAGGUCUUUGACUAACAAAGGAUCUGAAGAGCUGAACGCACCUCCAGUUCCCGUCUGAAUGUAGAGCAGCUCCACAUUGCUACUUUGUAUCCUUGCUAACGUUCUGGAAAUAUCAGCUUGCCAAUUUUCAAAUGGAAACAAAAAAAAUUAUGUUUUGUAACAUUUUUAUGAUUGAAACUGCAUUGUUACUGUUAUUAUUUCCUGUACUGUUUUGAAUUGUAAAUAAGAAAUAUUAAUAUUUAAAAUGUUUGAAAUGUUUCUUUUUAUAAAAUAUACAAUAUAUAAAUAUUUGUUUAGCUGAAUUUAAAAAAAGAAGAAAAACUAAAGUUUUAUGUAUAACAUUUAAAUAAAAAUUUGUUAAUGUCCAAAA